rnacentral:tRNA from 1 species
GGGCCAUUAGCUCAGUUGGUUAGAGCAACCGGCUCAUAACCGGUUGGUCCGGGGUUCAAAUCCCUGAUGGCCCACCA